GCAAUGGUGGCUCAGUGGUAGAAUUCUCACCUUCCAUGCGGGAGACCUAGGUUCAAUUCCUGGCCAAUGCA
rnacentral:tRNA from 1 species